UACGGGGGGGGCAAGCGUUGUUCGGAAUUACUGGGCGUAAAGGGCUCGUAGGCGGCCAACUAAGUCAGACGUGAAAUCCCUCGGCUUAACCGGGGAACUGCAUCUGAUACUGGAUGGCUUGAGUUCGGGAGAGGGAUGCGGAAUUCCAGGUGUAGCGGUGAAAUGCGUAGAUAUCGGGAGGAACACCAGUGGCGAAGGCGGUUGCCUGGGGCUUUGCUGACGCUGAUGCGCGAAAGCGUGGGGAGCGAUCCGG
rnacentral:rRNA from 1 species